rnacentral:misc_RNA from 1 species
GGAAGGAUCAUUACCGAAAAUCCACAUACCCACCGUGUCCACCGUGCCUGUCUUUUGGCGGGUGAUUUGUCGCUUCUGUGGCAAGCCGCCUUGUCCCUUUUCAUUCUCACGCGUUCCACCUCUCGGCCUCUCUCCUGAGGGGCCUUUUGGCUGGCCUUUCAACAGGCCGGUCCGGCGCGUCUGCCUCACGGCAGCGCGCCACCAAUUCAAACAAGACAACUCCCAACAACGAAUGUCUUGGCUCUCGCAACGAUGAAGAACGCAGCGAAAUGCGAUACGUAGUGCGAAUUGCAGGAUUCAGUGAAUCAUCAAAUCUUUGAACGCAUCUUGCGCUUUCAGGCUUCCUGGAAGCAUCUCUGGUUGAGUGCCAUUCCCCCCAGAUCGUGCAGCACUCUGCUGUGCGGAGCGUGGGUGUCGGCCUGCCCUCGUGGCAGGGCGUCGCCUGAAGCAUCGCAGUCGGGUGUGGGAGCUUCAGAGCCCCAUGCGCUCGCCGUGGUAAGGAUUCGCGUCCUCAUCGGUGUGUGCGCGUGGGUGUCUCUGCCUACACUCGCUGAGUCUACUGUCUCCUCUUUCACGGGAGGAGACACCCCUUGGACCGGCCUCAACUCAGGGAAGGCGACCCGCUGAACUUAAGCAUAUCAAUAAGCGGAGGAGAAGAAAGUAACAACGAUUCCCCCAGUAACGGCGAGUGAAGAGGGAAGAGCUCAAGCCCUUAAUCUGAACUUUUUCAUAGAGUUCCGAAUUGUAGUCUGAAGGUGUUCACAUUAGGCGCGCCGAGGCCCAAGUCCCCUGGAAAGGGGCGCCAGAGAGGGUGAGAGUCCCGUAUUUGGCCAUCGGUUGCGUUGACCUGUGUUUGCCGGAGAGUCGGGUUGCUCGGGAUUGCAGCCUGAAUGGGAGGUAAAUUUCUCCUAAAGCUAAAUACUGGCGAGAGACCGAUAGCGAACAAGUACCGUGAGGGAAAGAUGCAAAGAACUUUGAAAAGAGAGUUAAAAAGUACCUGAACUUGUUGGGGGGAAAGCGUUUGCUUCCAGUGUGCGCGCGCCGAUUCAGCCCUCACGGGUGUACUUUGGCGUGCGCGGUCAGGGUGGGUUUGGCGCGGCGCUCAUGUCCCCCGCGAGGCCUUCGGGCAACCGGGUGGUCGCGCGUCGCUCCGGACCGAGGCUCGCUCUGUUGCGGGGUCGGUUGAUCGCGUUGCCGUCUCACAAGCAACUUGUGCUCGGCGCGCGUGAUUCCCCACCCGCUCUUCAGCGUGACCCUGACGAAAUGGGCGCAACCGACCCGUCUAGAAACACGGACCAAGGAGUCUGACGACUACGCGAGUCUUCGGGUGGCAACCCCGUGGGCGCAAUGAAAGUGAGAGAUGCUCAGCAUCGACCGACCGUGAUCUCCUGUGAAUGGUUUGAGUAUGAGCGUGGUCGCCGGGACCCGAAAGAUGGUGAACUAUGCCUGAGUAGGGUGAAGCCUGAAGAAAUUCAGGUGGAGGCUCGUAGCGAUACUGACGUGCAAAUCGUUCGUCGAACUUGGGUAUAGGGGCGAAAGACUAAUCGAACCAUCUAGUAGCUGGUUCCCUC